UAGGGAAUCUUCCACAAUGGACGCAAGUCUGAUGGAGCAACGCCGCGUGAGUGAAGAAGGUUUUCGGAUCGUAAAGCUCUGUUGUUAGUGAAGAAGGAUAGAGGCAGUAACUGGUCUUUAUUUGACGGUAAUCAACCAGAAAGUCACGGCUAACUACGUGCCAGCAGCCGCGGUAAUACGUAGGUGGCAAGCGUUGUCCGGAUUUAUUGGGCGUAAAGCGAGCGCAGGCGGAAUGAUAAGUCUGAUGUGAAAGCCCACGGCUCAACCGUGGAACUGCAUCGGAAACUGUCAUUCUUGAGUGCAGAAGAGGAGAGUGGAAUUCCAUGUGUAGCGGUGGAAUGCGUAGAUAUAUGGAAGAACACCAGUGGCGAAGGCGGCUCUCUGGUCUGCAACUGACGCUGAGGCUCGAAAGCAUGGGUAGCGAACAGG
rnacentral:rRNA from 1 species